rnacentral:lncRNA from 1 species
AAGAAGUAUUAAAUCAAGCAGAACAAGAAUUCGGAUAUGAUCAUCCAAUGGGUGGUCUCACAAUCCCAUGCAGUGAAGAUGAAUUCAUAAAUCUCACUUCUCGCUUGAGUUGAGCUGUAAAUCAUUCUCAUGGAGAUUUAGAUAGAUUAGUUUAGGCUAAUUUGAACAGAAGGCGUUUUUUCAUUUAGUUUGUUCCAUGUAUAAAUCAUUCCUACGGAAACAGAAAAUGUUCCCUCAAUGAGAAUGUUAUGACAAAAGAUUCUUAAAUCAUUUUUAGCUUGUUCCAAAUCUCAACAAAUUAUAAUAUAUACAGAACUAUCAUUAAUCAGUUAUAUUAUGCAUCUGUUCUUAUCUUGACUGUAAUGGAAUGGUUGCAUGUUUCAGGGUUUCUAGGAUCAUUUCUUUCAUAUAUUGAAGCACAUAAAAAAAGUUAUAUGUUAACAUCAGCAAUAUAAAGCAUGGAAAAUAGGUUUGGAAUGCUCUGAAAAACAAGUGUGACAUGAGGAAGCUUGAGCAAAGGAGUGUGCAGGUAGUCACUAUCUCAAGUAUCAGAUGGUAUAGAUGAAAUAUUCGUGGAGACUCAAUGUCUCGAACUUCAAAAGAUUUCUUAUGAGAUUAUCCCAAAAGGUAUGUGUUUAGAUGAACCAUUUUAAAUUUCCUUUAUUAUUGACAAACUGGCCCAUAGUUUGAAAGUUUUUAAAAUUAUGUUUUGCUACAAAAUAAAAUAAUUUUUAAUUGAGAGUCAAAUCUUAUAAACAUUAUCAAAUUGAAAAAGUCUAGGUUGUUUUAAACAACCAAAAUAAAUUCGGUGUAGUUCUGAAGCCAUUUCGUAAAUAAUUAAAGAAUCAGAACCGCAAUGUUGUGAACCGAAUUAAGAAUGAGAACCCUUCAAGGGCCCUAAUUACUCUAAUUGAUAGGCAACAACAACCACCAUAACGAAAUGACAUUGAUGUUUUCUCUUAAUUCAAUUAUGGAAAACUAGGUCAUAUGAUUAAAAAAUGUAAGAUCGGGCUUGAACCUUGUGUUGCCUCUAAUGAACAUGUUAACCUGACUGAUGAUCAACUUAUUGAUUUGAUCACCGAAAUCAAUGUGAUUGGUGACUCUGAUGGUUGGUGGUUAGACAUUGGCUCAUCUCGUCAUGUAUGUUAUGAUCAUGCAAUGUUUAAAACAUACACAAAUAAGAAAGUGUUAUUGGGUGUUGCCCGCACCACUAAUGUUGUCGGUAUUGGAGAAGUGGAACAAAGUCCACCUCUGAAAAGACUGUAAUCUUGAAGGAUGUCAUGUAUACUUUAGAGAGUAUAAAAAAUCUUGUUUUUGGUUUUCUUCUGAAUAAGGCAUGGUUUAGUCAGUCUAUUGAGGUAAAUUUAUACACAGACACUAAAAAAUGAUAUUUUUGUGAAACUACCAUGUUUAAGACUUUUGCGAAUGAAAUUGAAAUUACAUUUAGUAACAAGAUUAAGAGAAUUCGUAGUGAUAAGGGAACUGGAUAUUAUUUUAGUUUAUCUAAUGAGUUUUAUAAACAACAUUGAAUUAUACAUGAAACGAAUGCACCAUAUUCUCCUGAAACGAAUGGUAAAACAGAUAGAAAGAAUAGAACUCUUAUUGAACUAGUUGUUAUUAUUACGUUGAAUUAUGGUGCUCCAUCUCACUGGUGGGGGGAAAUUUUGUUGAUUGUUUAUGAUGUCCUGAAUAGAGUUCCCAAGUCAAAAAUCAAGAUCUCUCCUUAUGGGAUAUUAAAGAAAAGACAAUCAAUCUUGUCUUACUUACGAACUUGGGACUGUCUGGCUUAUGUCAGAAUUCUGGAUCCGAAGUGAGUCAAAUACGUUAGUAGAGCCUAUGAAUGUUUAUUCAUUGGAUAAUGCUGCAAACAUUAAAUCAUAUAUGUUUUAUGACCUAAAUACUAAUGUGAUCAUAGAAUCGAAUGAUGUUAAAUUCUAUGAAGAAAAUUUUUCUUUCAAAUUAAGAAAUAGUGAGGGCACUGAAUCGAAUCACAAUCAUGUGAUAAGAAGCACUGAAAGCAACAAUAAAGUAGAAAUAGAACUUUGACGAAGUAAAAUAGUAAGAGUUGUUAAAUACUAUGGGCCCAAUUAUGCGGCUUAUAAUAUAGAAGAAGAUCCGAUAAAUCUUCAAGAAGUCUUGUCAUCUCUGGAUGCAAAUUUGUGGCAAGAAGCUAUUUAUGGCAAGAUGAUCUACUCAUAUUUGGAUCAAAUACUCAUAUCAUCAAUGAUGUGAAAUCAUUGUUGCGCAACAAUUUUGAUAUGAAAGACCUCGGAGAAGUGAGUGUGAUUCUUGGUAUUAAGAUCACGAGAUUCGAGCAAGGAAUUUCUUUGGAUCAGUCACACUUUGUGGAAAAGAUCUUAAAGAAACAUGACUACUUUGACUGUAAACCUGCGAUCACACCAUAUGAUCCAAGUGUGAAACUAUUUAAGAAUACUGGUGAAAUUGUCAGGCAAAUAGAAUAUGUGAGCAUCAUUGACAGUCUUAGGUAUGCCACUGAUUGUACUAGGCCAUACAUUACAUAUAUCGUAGGAUUGGUGUGCAUGUUUACAAGUAGACCGAGUAACGAGCAUUGACAAGCUAUUGAGCGAGUCAUUAGGUAUUUAAAAAGACUGUGAAUCUCGGUUUGCAUUAUCAGAGAUUUCAUGUUGUACUUGAAGGAUACAGUGAUGCAGAUUGGAAUACCUUAUCAGAUGAUUCUAAAGAAACUAGUGGCUAUGUAUUCAAUAUAGCUGGAGGAGUUUUAUCCUGGAAAUUAAAGAAACUACCUUGGCUCAGUCCACGAUGGAGUUUGAGAUGAUAGCAUUAGCGACUACUAAUGAAGAAGCGAGUUAGUUAAGAUACUUGCUAGCUAAGAUCCCUUUAUGAAAAAAAAACAUAUGUCGACUGUGUUGAUCCACUGUGAUAGUACCGCGACUAUUGUAAAAAUUGAGAACUAUUAUUAUAAUGGUAAAAUACGUCAAAUAAGAAAGAAUCACAACAUCGUCAGACAUUAUAUAUUGUAUCUCUAAAGGAGUUGUAAGAGUGGAUCAUGAACACACUGAUGUAAAUUUAGCAGAUCCUUUGAUGAAAGGAUUAGCUAGAGAGAAAAUCCAUAAUACAUCAAAGAAGAUGUGACUGAUUCCUAUAGAGAAAUGAGUUGCUCAUGAUGGUAACCCAUCCUAAAUGACUGGAGAUCCCAAGAAAUAGGUUCAAUGGGUAAUAACAAGUUGUUAGUAAUAUGAGGUGAUCAUGCUAGAGUAAAUAAGAGAAGUAUGAAUCCUGAAGCGAUAAGAUGAUGAGAUAAUAUAAACUCUUAAUGAGAUAUACACUUUGUAUAAGGGAGUACAUAUGCUACAGGAGUACUCUUGAUAGACACACCAAUGUGAUUGUGGAACAUAGGUCUGUUCCUAUAGAAUUGUGAGGCAUGAUUCCUAGAGCCUUCACUAAACUGGGAUACACGAGCAUGACCAUUAAAGCACGUGCUAUUAGAAUACACCUUAAGAAAAUGUUGUGUGCGAGUUUGAUGUCUGAGAUAGAGUUUAAGACAAUUGUGUCACUCUUGUUGAAUUAGAAUCCUACUUGCUACGUAAAGGUUAAAGUCGUAGACACCUUUGUUUAUGCACAAUCUUAGAAAUGUUUGACAAUACUUUUGUAACACCUUUUUUAAAUUCAAGUGAGAGAUUGUUGGAACAUUAUGUCAAUAUUCAAAUAUAGGGACAUGAAUUUGAAAAAGUUCCUUAAGUAAAAUCUCACGUUGUGUGUUAGUUGAAAAAAUUUCCUAGUCCCACAUCGCUUAGGUGAGAUAUAUUUCCUUCCUCACUUUAUUAUAUAAGGAAAUUCAUUGUUUCAUUCCAAAAUACACCACAAUGUUUCAUUCCAAAAUACAUCAAAAACUUAUUUUGAGUUUUUUCUUCCUCAAUCUCAUGACUCUGCGUCUUUCGAAUUGUCGAAUCGUCAAUCUCUCCCCCUUUCUUUCUAGUCGUUGAAUUUUCCGAGUAUUUUCUUGAAUUCUCUUUAGAGAAUUAUGUUAAUUUCUCCUUGUUUGAGUUGAGAAAUUAUCAAGUAUAAUUUUUGGAUUUUCUUUAGAUAAUUAUUCGAAUUUCUCUUUGUUUGAGAAAUCAUUUUGUAUGGUCAAAUGACCAUUAUUGAAUUCUCUUUGGAAAAUUGUUGGAAUUUCUCUUGGUUUGAGAGGUUAUUACAUUGGCUCGUUAUACCAGAUACUAUGCGUGAUAUUUAUUUUAUCCUGGAGGUGGCGCGGUAGUUUGACUGCUUUGCAUACAUUUAGAUAGUACCGUGAAACGUCUUAAAGAGAGCGAUCUAGUCCGUGAUUUGACCUGAUAAUUUCUUCUAUGAUUAAUUUUUAACGUCUUAAAAAGAGCGAUCUAGUCCGUGAUUUGACAUGAUAAUUUCUUCUAUGACUAAUUUUUAAAACCGUGAAACAACAAUGUCUAGAUAUGAGUCUUUUCAUUUGGAAUUAAAAUGGCGCUAUGUUGUUACAUAAUUGUAAAAGAGUGUGACUUUGGUGUUAAUUGUUUUCUAAUGCUGCAUAAAAAAAGCCCAAUUCCCACCUUACAACAAUGUUUCAUCAGUUUGCAAUUAAAUUAUGUGUUGGAUGAAACAUGCUGAAUUGGAAACAGUGGGGUGUUGAUGAAGACUAAAAAAUCAAAAUGAUUUAGGUGCUCUUCACAAAGUACUAGUCAUUGUGUCAUUUAGUGAAAUAAUUAACCUUGUUACUGUCAUAUUGUGCCUUGCUUAUGAAGGGAAUAUACCUCAGUUGCAUUAUUAAGGCUUUUGCACCCCAGAAUUUUAAUUUCAUGCCCAAGUUAUGUUGUUUAAAAAAAACUAAUAGAUUUAUCUUGCCCCCUUUUUCCUGAGUAUUAUAUAUUCCGUGAAAAACACGUAAGUUCUCUUUAUUAUAUCAAGCAGCAUUACUCAUAUGAUAUAUUUCCUAAGUUCUUAAGUGCAAUUAAAAAAUAACACAGAGAUGAGGUUUGAGCAAUUGAAUUCAUUAUCAUUAAAUUCUAACUCUAUCAAUCUAAUGCUCAUUUUUCACAUCUUUACAAUUUAGUACUAUGCCUUAUUGUACAAAAUAUAUCUCUACUAAGCUAUGUCAGUCUCUUUUGGUGUUACAUUCAUAGCCCGUUCAAGCCGGAAGUUAUAUGUUGGAAGACAUCUUCUGUGCAAGGAAUGGUGAGGCCACCCAUGGGAUGAUCGUAUCCAAACUCUUCCUCGGCUUGGCUCAGCAAGUCUUGAAACGACGGUUGAUUCAAGUAUGAUACUGGGAUGACAAAUCUCUUUUGCUUCUCUCCAACAUACACAGCAACAUAUCCCUUUGGCACCUCUACACCUUUUGAAACUCCUUGUUUUGCAGAAAAUGAUGCGCUUCUAAUGAUACCAGGGAAACGAAAACCCAUUGUUAUAUGUGUUAAAACUUGAGAUGAAUUGAUUUUAAGACAACUCUUUGAAAACUAUAACCAAGUUUUUGAAAGUGGAAUGCUUUAGGAUGUGAAUAAGUUGAGUUGGUACUAAAUGCUUGUAAUCAUAAAUAUAUAUAUAGAUAAAAGGCUAGUUGGAUGAUCAGUGAAGUAGGGCUAUAGGAUUAGAAUGGUGACAUAUUAUCUACAAGAGGACAACAGUAUGUAUAAGGUCACAUGGUGUGAAAAUAGAUCAGAUAGUGUGAAAAUAGAUAAUACAAGUCCCACGUUCUUUUAAGAAAACCAACAUAUUACCCCACUAGUCAACAGACUUAUCCAUGCAAGAGAAAAGUUUAAUUGACCUUGUUACUUAUUUAGCAAGGCAGGGACCACAAAGUUUUGUUCUGGUAAGCCAAUUUCAUGAAAAAAUAAAAGAUAUUGCUCAUAAUGGCUCAUGAUCUUGUGUUCAACAUUGGUUCUCUACUUGUCUCCAAAGACUGUUUCUGAGUUGAUAUCAAUCAGUUCCUACACCAAUUGCGCAUAAAUCCUAUAUAUAUUUAGUUGGUAGAUGUAUAUUAGUUGCAUUGUCAAUAUGAUGAAACACGUGAGAUGUCUAAAGCAUGUCAACCAUGGGAUUGGCUAUAACAAAAUGUAACAACAGACAUCAGGUUUCUUUCACCAUUGCAUUGUCUUAAAUGUCAAGUGGCUUAUCUGUUGGCCAUCAUCUCAGAGUGUGCGGUAUACGCAUGUUCUUCCAAUUAACUUCCUAAUCCUUGAAAAUGACUUCUAUUAGACAACACCAUGUGAUCCCUUGUCACUCAUCAAAUUACACUCAUUGGUUAAUUGUUUUGAAGAGGCCCUUAACAACUAUAUAUACACUACUCCUUCGUUUCACAAGCAAUACAAGUCUUUUACAUCCUAAAACAUCACUACUCAAUAUCUAUCUCUCAUCCAGUCCUUUAAUAAAAAAAAACAAUGGGCUUCCGCAUAACAAGUAUUAUCAGAAGAGCAUCAUUUUCCAGAACCCAAGGAUCUACCAAGGGAUCUGAAGUCCCUAAAGGCUAUCUUGCCGUCUAUGUUGGAGAUAAAAUGAGUCGGUUUGUGAUUCCGAUAUCAUACUUGAACCAACCAUUGUUUCAAGAAGUAUUAAAUGAAGCAGAAGAAGAAUUCGGAUAUGAUCAUCCAAUGGGUGGUCUCACAAUCCCAUGCAGUGAAGAUGAAUUCAUAAACCUCACUUCUCGCUUGAGUUGAGCUUUAAAUCAUUCUCAUGGAGAUUUAGAUAGAUUAGUUUAGGAUAAUUUGAACAGAAGGCGUUUUUUCAUUUAGUUUGUUCCAUGUAUAAAUCAUUCCUACGGAAACAGAAAAUGUUCCCUCAAUGAGAAUGUUAUGACAAAAGAUUCUUAAAUCAUUUUUAGCUUGUUCCAAAUCUCAACAAAUUAUAAUACAUACAGCAGUAUCAUUACUCCGUUAUAUUAUGCAACUGUUCUUAUCUUGCCGUUAAUGGAAAUACUGC